rnacentral:rRNA from 2 species
UGCAUCAUGAUUUACAUUUGAGUGAGUGGCGAACUGGUGAGUAACACGUGGGAAACCUGCCCAGAAGCGGGGGAUAACACCUGGAAACAGAUGCUAAUACCGCAUAACAACUUGGACCGCAUGGUCCGAGCUUGAAAGAUGGCUUCGGCUAUCACUUUUGGAUGGUCCCGCGGCGUAUUAGCUAGAUGGUGGGGUAACGGCUCACCAUGGCAAUGAUACGUAGCCGACCUGAGAGGGUAAUCGGCCACAUUGGGACUGAGACACGGCCCAAACUCCUACGGGAGGCAGCAGUAGGGAAUCUUCCACAAUGGACGAAAGUCUGAUGGAGCAACCCCCCGUGAGUGAAGAAGGGUUUCGGCUCGUAAAACUCUGU